rnacentral:rRNA from 1 species
GAUGAACGCUAGCGGCAGGCCUAAUACAUGCAAGUCGGACGGGAUUCAGGAGCUUGCUUCUGAUGAGAGUGGCGCACGGGUGCGUAACACGUAUGUAACCUACCUUUAUCAGGGGGAUAGCCUCUCGAAAGAGAGAUUAAGCCCGCAUAAAAUCACAGCACAGCAUUGUGUAAUGAUCAAAUAUUUAUAGGAUAAAGAUGGGCAUGCGGAACAUUAGCUAGAUGGCGGGGUAACGGCCCACCAUGGCGACGAUGUUUAGGGGAUCUGAGAGGAUGGCCCCCCACACUGGUACUGAGACACGGACCAGACUCCUACGGGAGGCAGCAGUAAGGAAUAUUGGUCAAUGGGCGGAAGCCUGAACCAGCCAUGCCGCGUGCAGGAAGACGGCCCUAUGGGUUGUAAACUGCUUUUAUACGGGAAUAAACCCAGAUACGUGUAUCUGGCUGAAUGUACUGUAAGAAUAAGGAUCGGCUAACUCCGUG